rnacentral:rRNA from 1 species
GGCUCAGAUUGAACGCUGGCGGCAUGCCUUACACAUGCAAGUCGAACGGCAGCACGGGAGCAAUCCUGGUGGCGAGUGGCGAACGGGUGAGUAAUAUAUCGGAACGUGCCCAGUCGUGGGGGAUAACGUAGAGAAAUUUACGCUAAUACCGCAUACGAUCUAAGGAUGAAAGCGGGGGAUUCGCAAGAACCUCGCGCGAUUGGAGCGGCUGAUAUCAGAUUAGGUUGUUGGUGAGGUAAAAGCUCACCAAGCCGACGAUCUGUAGCUGGUUUGAGAGAACGACCAGCCACACUGGGACUGAGACACGGCCCAGACUCCUACGGGAGGCAGCAGUGGGGAAUUUUGGACAAUGGGCGAAAGCCUGAUCCAGCAAUGCCGCGUGCAGGAAGAAGGCCUUCGGGUUGUAAACUGCUUUUGUACGGAACGAAAAGGCUCUUUCUAAUAAAGAGGGCCCAUGACGGUACCGUAAGAAUAAGCACCGGCUAACUACGUG